UUCUGGCUCAGGAUUAACGCUGGCGGCAUGCCUAAUACAUGCAAGUCGAGUGGUUAGCUUGCUAACCAUGGCGAACGGGUGAGUAACACGUAGGUAACCUGUCUUCAAGACGAGGAUAACCAUUGGAAACGAUGGAUAAUACUGGAUAGGACAAAUCCCCGCAUGAGGAGAUGUUUAAAGGAGCAAUCCACUUGAUGAGGGGCCUGCGGUGCAUUAGUUAGUUGGUGAGGUAACGGCCCACCAAGACGAUGAUGCAUAGCCGGACUGAGAGGUUGAACGGCCACAAUGGAACUGAGAACGGUCCAUACUCCUACGGGGAGGCAGCAGUAGGGAAUUUUCGGCAAUGGGCGGAAGCCUGAACCCGAGCAAUGCCGCGUGAAUGAAGAAGUAUUUCGGUAUGUAAAGUUCUUUUAUUUGGGAAGAAAAAACAAAUUGACGGUACCAAAUGAAUAAGCUCCGGCUAACUACGUGCCAGCAGCUGC
rnacentral:rRNA from 1 species